UGCCAGAUGUAACAUAAUUAUCGAAUUGUAACAUAAUUUAUCCUUAAAAUUGAACUGAAAUAUUACUUGUACCAUAUUCGAUAAUUGUAACAUAAUUUCACUAGAAAAUAAUUCAAAACGUUAAAAUACAUUUCAAACUUAAUAAACUACCAAGAGAGUUUAGGAUUUUUACCAUAACGUGAGUUAUAUUAUUGGCAAAAUGUAUAUGUAUACCAUCUAUCUAUUAUAGGCAUCUACCCAUUAUAUUUCCUCCCUACUAGCUAUUUUUCAAUUAUUUAUCCGAACUUCAAACCGAUAACGCCAUCUCUGGUGCAAGUUCAAGACCAAAUCAAUCAAAUCCAAAUCUUUAAACGGCGCUCGGUGUGGGCUCCGCUCCGCCGGUAACGAGUUGUGGGAAUCACCGAACAGAACGUCAAAUAAAAAUAAAAUCAUACAUAUUAAAGCCUACGGUAGAGAGCUAUAACUUUUUCACUGUGUAAUUGGUAAUAUUAUAAUUGAAACGUGUAAAAUGAACGCUGCAACUACGUCAAAAUAUUCUUCUGAUUCGGACUCGGAAUCUGAAGCAAACAUCAAUAGGAAACGUUUUAAAAACAUGCAAAGACGGGAAACUAGACCUCAGCAAUACAGGGUAGAAUGGGAAAAUCUUUAUAAGGCGUGGUUAAAACCUGUUAAAGAUAAUCCUCUACGGGCAAGGUGCAUUGCAUAUAACACUGAUUUCCAAGCUGAUAUUACAGUCAUCAAAAAUCACGGCAAGGGCGUUAAACACAUGAAGCUUGUAAAGGGACUGGCAUCAAAUCAACCUAAAAUCGAUUCUUCAUUUUUUAAAAAGAAUGAGGCUCAAGAUCAAGUUUCCCAAGCAGAGAUCAAAGUAGCCGCUUUUAUUUCUGAGCAUAACUUAUCUAUGAAACUGUCAGAUCAUUUAGUGCCCCUUAUGAAAAAUAUGUUUCCUGACUCCAGAAUUGCCAAAGACAUGCAAAUGGGAAGAACCAAAUGUACCGGCAUUAUUAAGAACGUUUUGGGGAAAUGUUGUUUUGAGGAGCUUGUAGAAGAGCUAAGGUAUAAAAGGUUUAGUUUUUUAAUAGACGAAUCUACAGAUAUAAGCAGCGUAAAAAAUAUGUGUGUUUGCGUGCGGUACUUUUCUUGAAAAUGUCAAAAAGUUGUAACUAGAUUUUUUAGUUUAGUGCAAUGUUUUUCUGGCAAAAAUGCUGAUGAAGCAAAUACUGGUGCUACGGCUGAGGUAAUAUACAACAAGCUUAUUGCUGUAUUUACAUCAUCCGUGUUACCCUUAGAAAAUAUCAUAGGCUUUGGUUCGGACGGCUGCAACACAAUGUUUGGGUCAAAAAAUUCUGUUGUUACUCGAUUAGAACUUAACUUCCCUGGAAUAGUUAUUCAAAAAUGUAUAUGUCAUUCUCUCCAUUUAUGCGCCAGUGAUACAUGUAAAGUUCUUCCACGGCACUGUGAAGACUUAGCUAGGAAUAUUUUUAGUUUUUUUAAACACAGUAGCAAAAGGCAAGCUCAGCUUUUAGAAUUUCAAGAAUUUUGUCAAGUUGAGCCUCACAAAAUUUUGCGGCCUUCGCAGACUAGGUGGCUUUCACUGCUCAUGGUAGUUAACAGAAUUAUUGAGCAGUGGGAUCCAUUACAGCUAUAUUUUACCCAGCAGUGGAUUGGACAUAGAUUACUAGCAUCCGAAACCAUAGCCAAUAGGUUAGGUGACAGUGAAACUAAACUUUUUUUUUAUUUUCUCCAAUGGAUUCUUCCAAAAUUUGUCGAAUUAAACAUUUAUUUUCAAAACGAACAAGUAGUUAUAACAACAGUUUAUACUAAAAUGUGCGAAACUUUUAAAUUUCUUUUGUUGGCCUUUUUAAAACCCAAUUAUGUCCAUCAAACAGAAUUGCAAAACAUAGAUCCAUCUAACGAUAAAUAUUUUAUAGAGUUAAACCAAGUAUAUCUUGGUAUUAAGGUAAUGGAAAAUAUUAAUAAACUAAAUCAGCAACAACAAGAUGACUUCCUCAUCCGAUGUCGUCAAUUUUUAAUAGUAUCUGCUAUGGAGAUGAAAAAAAGGUUUAAUUUCAAUGAUAGUAUCUUAUCUAACUUAGCUAUAUUUGAUAAGAAUUAUUGUAAGCCAAGACCUCAGUCUCUUAUAGGGGUAAUAAACUUACUACCUAGAAUUAUAGAUCCUCAAGAUACCGACAAAAAAACAAAAAAUUGAUGACCAGUGGAGGCUAUAUUGUCAGUACCUAAAUGAGUUUGAUGAGGAUAUUAAAAAUGAAAAUAACAUUGACAAAUAUUGGUAUAAAAUAUCUAUAAAGAAAGACCUUUUAGACUCCAAACCAUAUGCAGCUUUAGGCGCAUUUGUUUUGGAUAUCCUUAUUUUACCCCAUUCCAAUGCAGAUUGUGAACGGGUUUUUUCUAAGGUAAAUCUCAUUAAAACUGAUACGCGUAAUAGUUUGUGCACUAAAACUAUAAAUGCACUACUUUUAUCAUCACAGCGCGCUCAUGGUGAAUGCUAUAAUUUUGAUGUUACUCAAAAAAUGACAAAGUCUAUGAUAUCAAAUAUAAUAUAUAAGAAGGAUGGUGAAGAAGAUAUUAAUAUUUCAUUUGAAUAAUGACUUUUGUGUUAAAAUUUUUUCCUUGUACCUAAUUUCUGGUUUAAAUUUCAUACAUAAUAUCAAAAUAUAUAAGUUAAAUUUA